CGCCAAGAGUGGGAGAACAAACUCACAAGUAAACUUUGCACUCUAUCCAGAAGAAAUGAAGAAAUUAAUUCUAGAUAAAAUAAAUGAGAAAUGGACAAGCUCCCAUCCAAAUCACAAGAAAGAUGACGCUUACUAUAAGCUAUCCUGACAAGACCAACGUCUAAUCUUUCGACUCAGGACCGGACACAACAGAAUGCGACAACACAUGUUCCGGAAGCUCAAAAUUGGAACCAGUGAAAUCUGCCCAUGUGGAGUAUCACCAGAAAAUGCUGACCACGUCCUCCAAAACUGCUCUCUCUACCAAGAGGCCCGUAUAAGACAUUGGCCCCAAAUCACCCCAAUAGAAAGAAAACUAUAUGGAGAGCUCCCUGAUUUAGAAACCACUGCGCAGUUCAUCUCAUGUAUUGGUCUAGUCAUAUGAACACUCCAACAUAACAAUGAGAACGAUGAAGAAGAAGAAGAAGAAGAAAACACUACACCCGGACUAAACUACAAACAACCAACCAUCAAAACACAUUUACUGAAUAACACCUUAACAAAAGAAUCAAACCCACUGGAGCUCAAAGUAGGCACGCUUGAAACAAUCGAAAGCUAUCAAAAAACAGCUAUCCAUAUUUAUACAGACAGAUCGGCUUUCAAAGCUACCAUCAAUGCUGGUCUUGGUGCCUUCCUGGUCUUCCCUAAAAAUAAACACUUUGAGAUAAGCGCACCCUGUGGUGAUGUUUGUAAAAUGUUUUACAUGUUUCGGAUGUUCCUUCAGAGUUGAAGAUAGUUUACUUCCUUACGACGGGGGAUGGGAGCGGGCAGGAUUUGAACCCUCGACCAUCAAUAAAUCCGAACGACAGUCCAGCGCGCAAACCUCACGACCAGGCAGCCAUCCUGCUCAAACUUCCAAGCCGAAAUUGAGGCAAUUACCAUAGCACUCCAGACAGUGGAAAACAAAUUAUAUGAAGGAGUGCAACCACCAUCAGAUAUUGUUGUCUUUACAGACUCCCAAUCUACUCUGCAAGCACUUAACAGCAGCACCUCAAACAGCCCAAGAGAGUUGACAACACUCAUUGUGACAAUCCACCAGAUGAUAUCAAAAUUAAAUAUCAAUAUUACACUACAGUGGAUCCCUGGACACAUUGGCAUCAUGGGAAAUGAAAAGGCAGAUAAGCUAUCAAAGACAGGUUCAUCUAUGGAACAACCAGAUAGACCUGUUAACUACCUCACCCUAAGGUCAAUGUUAGUCAACAAUCACAAAGAGGAGUGGCUCAACCAAUGGGCAUCAGGAAACACAGGCAGAGCCAUGUACAGAGAAAUGACUACGCCUAACAAACUGGACAGUAUUAACUUCCUCCCCCGCAAAGAACAAUCUACAAUCUUCCAACUAAGAACAGGACACACACCACUAUUAAAUUACCACCUGAAGAAAAUAAACUCCACACAACUACCCCUUUGCAGACACUGCGCCCACCCCUUUGAAACCGUAAACCAUAUCCUCUUUGAAUGCCCCUCCCUAACCCACCUUAGGCAGACCCUACUUCCACUACAGCCCAACAUAACCAACACCCUGUAUGGCAGUGCUGAACAACUGAAGAAAACAGCACACUUUUUUUCCUUGGCACAGUCUGCAAAAGAGCUCACAGCUCAGCAGCAAUAAAGCUGGCUAGAAGAAGAAGAAGAAGAAGUGGCCAACAGAAUGACCAACCACCUUUACUUUUUCCCCAACUUAUGUCAGGUACCCAUUAGAGCUGGGUCUAAACCAGGAUUCAAACCCUGGACCCUUGGUUCAGAAGUUAAGCGCCUUACCACUCAGCCACCACACCUCCCUGUUUGUGGUAAUCAGGCUAUUUUAACUUGAUAGGCUAUAAAUAUAAGUGUAAAAUAUUUUUUAAUGUGUAUAAGAUGCAUGUCCAGAUAAAGGUGCUACAACUGACCAAAUUAAAAAAAAAAUCAUAUGUAAAGAUAAACUAAAUCAUGAAUAGUGAUGUGCCUUUAGAACUGUUUCAUGGGAGUAAAACAUCCAGACACAACAGAAUGCGACAACAGAUGUAUCAGAAGCUCAAAAUCAGAAACUGAAAACUGCCCAUGUGGAGUGUCACCAGAGAAUGCUGACCAUCUCCUCCAAAACUGCUCUCUUUACCAAGAGGCUGUACAUGACACUGGCCCCAAAACACCCCAAUAGAAAGAAAAUUAUAUGGAGAGUUCCCUGAUUUGGAAACCAAUGCGAAAAUAAUCUCAUAUACUGGUCCAGUCAUCUGAAUGCUCCAAUAAAAAAAUGAGAAGAAAGAAGAUUGUGAGCAACAUGGCUAUUGAAAAGCAGAGACCAUACAAACCUCAUUAGAUGAAGAGUUUUAUUUUGUUGGUAAAGUCCUUGGUUUUGAGCCAGCAGAGAAACAUAGAAAGGGCCGUACACAUAUAUGUAAAAUACAUGCUAGAUCUAUGAGUGUAGAGAAAGAUAUUCGUUAUGAGCUGCUGGCCAGAUUAUGCCCAAACAGUACAGUUAUGUAUUCACAUUAUUAUGUUAAUAUUUAUGGGGUAAUUAACAAUGUUAAAAGAAGUGGGAUGUGUAGCUGUAUUGGAUAAAAUCUCUUGGGUCCCUAUAAAUGGGGCUUGAGCUCAAAUCUUACCCGAGCUGAGUUGUGUUUGCUGAGCCUCUAAAUGCAGUACAGAAACCUUUUUACUCCAAGUUUCCACUAAAAGAGAUAAGACCAUGAGCAUGUUAUAAGCAUGAAAGAUGCGCUCUAUAAAAAGAUAAUUAGAAAAAUAAAGGAAUACUUUGUGGUCAAUGGAAAUAGCAAGGAUAUUUAUUUGGUAGUCCAGAUUAAUACAUUAAAAUCCUAAAUAAGAACCCUUAAAAUGCAAAGUAGCAAAACUAUAUUGAAAACUUAUAACCAGCCACUACAUAAAACAUUCACUAACCCUAACCAUAUGACUAAUAGUGACUACAAAACAUUUAUGGCUGCCUGUUAAGUCAACAAUUAGUUGCCUGAUUGCAACUUGCUUAGAACAUAAGACUCUAUAAAGUUAUUAGAGAUAUUGAAACUAUUUUACCAAGAAAUACUCAUAUUUAGUGUUAAGAUAUUACAGUGAGACUUUCCUAAUCCUAUUUGGUGAUAUCCUAUUUGGUGAUGAGAUGAGACUUUGCUAGUCAUAUUUGGUGUUGAGACAUUACAUUGAGAUUUUCCUAGUCAUACUUUGAUGUUUAGACUUGACUACUUUCUCUUUCUUCCAUUCAAGUUUAUACUUUCACUCUGCAAUCUAAUACUUGAUACUCUUUCUAUUAUUGACAAAUUCAUGUAUGAAUACAAGCUAUUUGAUAGCAAUUACUUCAUUUUAAGGUACAUUAGCUUUAAAAACUGUAUAUUCAUCAUAAUUUAGUCACCACAAUGGAAGUUAUUUACAAAUUUAAUUCUCUCACAAACUAUGUUCCUUCCUCUCAACAAACACUCUUAAUGUUAAUCUUCUCAUCUCCUCUUGAUAAUGGUAUUCAGAAGUCAACCUAGAUUUCCAUUUGAAUCAACUUAACAUUAAAAGCUGAAUAGUAUUUAUUUAGAAUCUUAUCAUACUGAUUAUUUUGAUAAUGACUCCAUAUUGUCUGUGUUUGUUUAUAGGCUUUUUUUUCCUAAGUUUUGAAUCGAUCAUUUGUUUUUUAAUGCAUUGGUUGAAUAACAAAAGAGGACAAUGGACCUCAUUCACCAAUAGUAAACAAACAACAUUUAGUCACGUGAUCUUAUUGAUAAAACAACGGAAAAAACUGUCACAUGACAACCAUCAUGAAUUAAACAUGAGAUCGUAAAUUAUAUAGAAGAUAUAGAGAACCACGUGGCUAAGUGUUGUUUGUUUACGAUUGGUGAAUGAGGCCUAUUGGUUUUUUACAUUUUUACUUGCUUUUAU